UUUCUAAUAAUCACCUGGCUUCUGACUUUAACAGCAUAUUUUCUUUCUGUUAUUUUCUAGGUUUUGCAGACGUAUCCAGAGUUAGGAUUCUUGACUGCUGUGGAAGCUCAUUGAAUUUCUGAAGGCGAAAAAUGCUUGGCUUGGUCCAUCUUCCCCCUCUAUAGAACAUUUUUAUGUUAUUUGGUUAAAACCUGGAGUCCCUUCUCCAUUCUGAAGUCCAAAGAUUGUUGCAUGACUCAUUACAGGUAAACCAAGCAGAUAACUUGUGGAAAAUCAGUGAAGUGAAAGAAGACUCAGAGCACGUAAGUUUUUCUCCCUAGUUUUUCCCAAAAAUAUAUUGAUUGCUUCUUCUAAAUCAGGGGUCCCCAAACUAAGGCCCGGGGGCCGGAUGCGGCCCUCCAAGGUCAUUU
rnacentral:lncRNA from 11 species